rnacentral:rRNA from 1 species
GACGAACGCUGGCGGUGUGCUUCACACAUGCAAGUCGAACGAGGUAGCAAUACCUAGUGGCGGACGGGUGAGUAACGCGUGGGAAUCUGCCUUUAGAUGGGGGAUAACGGGUCGAAAGACUCGCUAAUACCGCAUAUGACGAAAGUUGAAAGGAGUAAUCCGUCUAAAGAUGAGCCCGCGUCCGAUUAGCUAGUUGGUAGAGUAAAAGCCUACCAAGGCGACGAUCGGUAGCUGGUCUGAGAGGAUGAUCAGCAACACUGGGACUGAGACACGGCCCAGACUCCUACGGGAGGCAGCAGUGGGGAAUAUUGGACAAUGGGCGAAAGCCUGAUCCAGCAAUGCCGCGUGAGUGAUGAAGGCCUUAGGGUUGUAAGCUCUUUUACCAGGGAUGAUAAUGACAGUACCUGGAGAAUAAGCUCCGGCUAACUCCGUGCCAGCAGCCGCGGUAAUGUG